GACAGAGGGUGCAAACGUUGUUCGGAAUUACUGGGCGUAAAGCGCGUGUAGGCGGCCCUGCAAGUCGGAUGUGAAAUCCCACGGCUCAACCGUGGAAGUGCAUUCGAAACUGCAGGGCUAGAGUCCUGGAGAGGAAGGUGGAAUGCUUGGUGUAGAGGUGAAAUGCGUAGAUAUCUGGAGGAACACCGGUGGCGAAGGCGGCAUCCUGGACCGACACUGACGCUGAGGAGCGAAAGCCAGGGGAGCAAACGGG
rnacentral:rRNA from 1 species